UUUAAAAGCUAAUAGACUAAUGUAAUGUAAUUUAUUUAAUUAUUUUUUAGGUACUAUUUAUAUUGUACCUGGCAAGAAAUACCCGAAAAUAAUUCUAUGGAACAACGACUACAUCAUAAACAAGAAAUUAGUUACAAAAACAAUGUGGAGAUGCAACAGUUAUCCUAAAAACGGUUGCACGUCUAAAAUUACAACAUCGGGAAAAACGGUCACUAUAACUUCUGGUCAUAAUCAUGAACCGACGUACCCUGACACCAGUUCGGCAGUACCACAAAGUGUUAAUAUUGUAGUUAAAUACUAGGUACCAUUUACGUAAUACCUGGCAAGAAGUACCCUAAAAUAAUAUUAUGGGGCAAUAGCUACAUAUUACACCGGAAGUACGAGAACAGAACUACUUGGAGAUGUAAAUAUUAUGCAAAAAUGCACGGUUGCAAGUCAAGAUUGUCCACAUCAGGAAAAACGGUCACCAUAUUUGCUGAACAUAACCACGAACCGCCUAACCUCGAUAUCACCUCGGCCACAGCACAGAAUGUGAAUAUCGUUAGGGAAGAUAAUCCGAUCUAGAGUCCAGAGUUACCUGCCUACUGCACUGUGCACAAACAUUUAAAACGAUAUAUUUCUUCGUUAAUAAAUACUAUUUUCUUGCC